rfam:Bacteriovorax marinus SJ genome.
UGGGGUGUGGCGCAGCGGUAGCGCAGCGGACUGUUAAUCCGUUGGUCGUGGGUUCAAAUCCCUCCACCCCAG